rnacentral:misc_RNA from 1 species
CAUACAAGCUGGCUUGCCUGCGAUGGCAUCGGCUGGUUAUGCCUGACACACCGAGGUGCUUGCAUCGCAGGCAAGCCAGCUCCCACA